rnacentral:rRNA from 1 species
GGGUAGAGCACUGUUUCGGCUAGGGGGCCAUCCCGGCUUACCAACCCGAUGCAAACUGCGAAUACCGGAGAAUGUUAUCACGGGAGACACACGGCGGGUGCUAACGUCCGUCGUGAAGAGGGAAACAACCCAGACCGCCAGCUAAGGUCCCAAAGUCAUGGUUAAGUGGGAAACGAUGUGGGAAGGCCCAGACAGCCAGGAUGUUGGCUUAGAAGCAGCCAUCAUUUAAAGAAAGCGUAAUAGCUCACUGGUCGAGUCGGCCUGCGCGGAAGAUGUAACGGGGCUAAACCAUGCACCGAAGCUGCGGCAGCGACACUGUGUGUUGUUGGGUAGGGGAGCGUUCUGUAAGCCUGUGAAGGUGUGUCGUGAGGCAUGCUGGAGGUAUCAGAAGUGCGAAUGCUGACAUAAGUAACGAUAAAGCGGGUGAAAAGCCCGCUCGCCGGAAGACCAAGGGUUCCUGUCCAACGUUAAUCGGGGCAGGGUGAGUCGACCCCUAAGGCGAGGCCGAAAGGCGUAGUCGAUGGGAAACGGGUUAAUAUUCCCGUACUUGGUGUUACUGCGAAGGGGGGACGGAGAAGGCUAUGUUGGCCGGGCGACGGUUGUCCCGGUUUAAGCGUGUAGGUGUGUGUUCCAGGUAAAUCCGGUUCACUUUAACACUGAGGCGUGACGACGAGGCACUACGGUGCUGAAGCAACAAAUGCCCUGCUUCCAGGAAAAGCCUCUAAGCAUCAGGUAACAUCAAAUCGUACCCCAAACCGACACAGGUGGUCAGGUAGAGAAUACCAAGGCGCUUGAGAGAACUCGGGUGAAGGAACUAGGCAAAAUGGUGCCGUAACUUCGGGAGAAGGCACGCUGACACGUAGGUGAAGUGAUUUACUCAUGGAGCUGAAGUCAGUCGAAGAUACCAGCUGGCUGCAACUGUUUAUUAAAAACACAGCACUGUGCAAACACGAAAGUGGACGUAUACGGUGUGACGCCUGCCCGGUGCCGGAAGGUUAAUUGAUGGGGUCAGCGCAAGCGAAGCUCCUGAUCGAAGCCCCGGUAAACGGCGGCCGUAACUAUAACGGUCCUAAGGUAGCGAAAUUCCUUGUCGGGUAAGUUCCGACCUGCACGAAUGGCGUAAUGAUGGCCAGGCUGUCUCCACCCGAGACUCAGUGAAAUUGAACUCGCUGUGAAGAUGCAGUGUACCCGCGGCAAGACGGAAAGACCCCGUGAACCUUUACUAUAGCUUGACACUGAACAUUGAGCCUUGAUGUGUAGGAUAGGUGGGAGGCUUUGAAGCGUGGACGCCAGUCUGCGUGGAGCCGACCUUGAAAUACCACCCUUUAAUGUUUGAUGUUCUAACGUGGACCCGU